UUUUUUUUUUUUUUUUUUUUUUUUUUUUUUUAUGUGAACACUUUACCAAAAUUUCACAAAGCCUGGUUUGGGUAAGGCUUCCCAAAACUUUCUAAGAAUUGUUCGUGGAACCAUCGAAUUGUCCUUCCUCCCAAGAAAAUUCCAUGCACAUAACAGCCCUUGUCCACCCUUCCAUCCACCAGUCACACCAGAGUGGCAGAGUUUGGGCAGAAAUUGACUUUCACUGCAGCUACACAUGUAGUGCAAUUCUCCUGCUCACUAUAAGAAUGACAACAUAGGAAUAAAGAGUGAGACCCAUGACACCUGCAGUCAUACAAAAUGCUCAGACAUUCAAUAGUCACUAUUCUGCAUAUCCUUGGAUAACUUGAAAAAAGCUCAGCUCAGCUUUCAAACCUGCUUUUCAUCUUGUCAUUGUGGAAUAAAUUCCUUUCUCUUUCACACAGGGUCUUUUUGUUUUUUUCCCUUACUACAUCCAGCAUAAUAAUGAACCCCAUCACUUCAGUUUUGAUUGAUUCAUGUUUCUAUAUCACAGUGAGGAAUUUAAUUUAAGCAAAGUUGUCGCAUUUUGUUUGUCAGCGCAGCACAUGCGGACAAGACUAACUGCCUGGAAAGUCUUAAAGCGGAUUUUUUCAAAAAUUUUGGUUGAUUAUACAUUUCUGUGGAAAGCAACAGAAAUAUUUUAUCAGAUAAUUUAUAGAAAAAAGAAUCUUGGAUAGACAGAAAAACAGAGGCACUUAUUAAAUAUUAUAUGGCUUUUAUCACAGUCCUUAAUUAUGUUUUUCUACUUUAUCUAUAUACCUGUCAUUUCUGUUUGAGAAUAAAAGAAAAAAACUCUUCUGGAAAAUAUGAAAAAUCACGCUCCAAACACAAGUGUACUUGAUAAAAGAUGCAAGUCUGUCCAGGGAUUCAUGAUUGAAUGACUCCUUAAAAUCAGAGAAUUAUGGAAAUUGACAAAUUUGUUGCAAAUACUGAUUUGUUGAGUGCUAUUUGACAUGUAGAACUAUAGUUCACAUCAAUUUGUUCAGCAUCACUAAUGUGUCCUGCAUAUACAUUACCUGCAGAGCUUUUAGAUCCAUAUAACAUGGCUGCAUCAGUGGGCAGUGGUUUAAGGAAAUAAGAUUAGCUUGAUUCUAAGUCCCAGUGUCUAAAUAAAUUACUUCAGCUUCAAGACAUCACAUUAGAUGACAUCCCAGACAAAAUAUAUCAUACUAAAGUAUCUGGCAAGCUUUUUAUUGUAGGAUAAAAAAUGAAACAGGCAAAUAUAGUAAUGCAAUCUAAAGAUCUCUGAACAUUUCUUUUUUUUUUUAAAUUGAAUUAGUGUCUCAUUUUCCCAUUAAUCAGUAGGCCAUAUCUCCUUCUGAUCCUAUAAAUCUAAUGUAGAGCGAGAUACAUUUCCAGAUGUCUCUAGCACAAACACCUUAUUCUGUGGAAAUUGCAGAAAUACUUUUCUCUCCAUGACAGUCUCCCUUUAGAAAUACCCUUACACCACGUGGAGUUACUUUUGUUUAAAUUGGAUGUGCCAGUGCAGGGAAAUACAAACACUACAAACAUCCGCUGUGUAGCAACUAAAUCUGAUUUAACCAUCAUGAUCAAAAUGAGAAAGGCAUUCUCUGCAGAUCUCCAUAAUGUAAAUCAAAAACAUAUUUAGGGGCAUGGCUUAAAGUAAGAGCCUCACAAAGACUGUUCAGACUGAACGUAAUAUAUAGGAUUGCUCCUCUAUUCUUUGUUGUUUCAUCCAAAGGGUUAAGGUUACUGAGAGAAGAGGUAAAAUUCAAUCAUUACAGUACCAUAUUUGCAUUAUCCUUUCAUCUCUCUGUCUCCAGUUCUCAGACGCCUUUUGUGCCUCCUGAUGCGAUUUAAAACCCUAUUAACACAAACAAUUGCUGCAGCUUUAUCAGGGGGAUGGUGUGUGCCUAUGAACCCACUGCUGCACCUGUAUUAUAAUCAGCAAGCCAGCAGGCUCUGCCUAAAGCCAGUCCCCUGAGAAAGGGGCCUGAAUGUGGGUCCAUAGCCCUGAGCUUCCAGCAGGAGCAACUGGAACUCUGUGCCUGUGGAGCCAGGGCUGGAGAACACCCUGAGGUCCCUUGCUCUUGCCCAACAUAUAUUGUUGUAAAGGGAGUCAUUCAGAUUGAAAUUACGCUCCCAGAUUUCUUUUAUAACCAGUGGAGAGCAGGCACCAUCAAAAGAUGCCUCACCUAGCCCUAAAGUGCGGGCCUGCGCUAGGUGUCAUCAAAAGCUCUUCAGAGGUCGCUAAUCUGACUACAGGAGAAGAAGAAGUCAUUGCCUCUAACUCAUAAGAAAUAAGAGAAAAACUUUCUCUUUUUCUGAGAAAAACUUUCUUUCCCCUGAUUAACUGCCCACCAGCACCUUCUUCUCAUGAACAGAAAAAUUAUUUGCAAAGCAAAAUUAUCUACAAAGUAAACUAAAAAUAAUUACAAAGCUGCUAGAACUGCAGGCAUAUAGCUUCCAUCAGUAAGGUUUUACUGAUUUCCUCUAGCUAAGCUUGGUGGUAUGUGCCUAACUGAGGUAUGGCAUUGCAUCACAUGACUGCUUAAAAAUUAUCCCAGUAUUUAUCUGUCAAUCUGUCUUUUAGUUCCCUUUGGAAUUGUUCAUUUAUUUAUGCGCUGCAAAACUCUGUACAAUGGAUGGAAAUAAAAACUCCCAAUUCCAAUCCUACAAAACAUCCUAAUAGUUGUAGGUUCCUGAGGUAUUGUAGCCACACCUGUGUGAUCCUACACCAAAUUGACUUUCUCCACGGAAGACCAGGGCUUGUUAGUCAAGUCAUAGUGGUAGUCAGAAACAAUGACUUUAUAUUUUGGAUUAAAAUAAUAUGUCUUUGUCUUGCACUGGAUGGUUGCACACAUGGCUCAUGUUAGAUCUGGUAUGAGUAUGUUUUGAUUUUUAUGUGAUGCAGAUUUGUCCAUUGAAAGACAAUAUUUCCUUAGGAAAAAACACCACAAAUCAGGACUUGAGGCCAAGAAUUGACAUAUUUUUGUAUCUCUCUAUAUAUACAUUCUUCUCUAGGAACACAGACAUGAAAAUAAUGAAAUUGUGAAGAAGGGAACAGAAGAAUUUUUACACCUCAUAGGAAACAAUUUUAGGGUUCAGUCAUCCCAUUGUGCUUAAGCAUGUGCUUUGAUUUUUAACAGUUGUGAAAGUUAUGCAAAAAUGAAUGCAAAUUAAUGGCAGAAGAACCAGAUUAAUGUUACUAGAGGAGGGCAGAGAGGCAAAGGAGAGGACAGGGAAGCAGGGCAUUAUGGCAGGUCAAAGGCACUGCUGUGUUAGCCAGCUGCCAAAAGGGUAAAGUGGGGACAUGCUGCUUCUGGCCCAUCAAACCACCAAGAAAAAGCAUGCCUGUGUAACAUGAGUGCAAAAAAAUCUGGUGCUAUAGGCAGAUUGUUAAAGUGUUAUUAACUGUUAUGGCAACUGUUAAGUCCACAUAAUCUGAAAAGGGGAACGAAAAAUCUAAUUUGUGUCCUGUGAAGAUAGCUAGUGACAGCUACAUAACUCUCCUUAUUCAGCCCUUUUCUGGGCUGCACUGGAUUUGUUGCUGUGACCGAGCAAAUGCAGGGCCAGUGGCAAAUAAAUAUAAUCAGUGGGUAAAGUCUUGAAAAAUCAACAUCAGAAGCUGACAUUUGGAGUUAGAUCUUGUGUUUAUAUGUGACAACCUUUUGACAGUAAUGUCUAUAGUUUAACACAAAGGAUUCAGCAUAGACCUCCCAAGGUGUUUAAUCAUCUAAAUCCUCCUGUCAUUCAAAAUUCCAGAUUCAACCCUCUAGUUAUCUGCUGUACCAAACCCAGCAUCAUCCUGUAUGGACAUAUUAUGAAAGAGCAAAGGCUCAGAAUCCCUUUGCAUAACAUGGAACAGUUUAUGAGAACAUAGGAUUAAAAAAAUACUAGAGAAAGUCUUCAAGAGGUUAUUUGGCUCACAGAGCAAAUAUAUUUGGCUUCUGGACUAUAUGUUUCACAAACUUGUCAGUCUGUCCACAAGAUUUGAAAACACAGCCAUUGAUUUUGUAAGCUGCUUUUGGCACUUGCACAAAUAUUGGAGUAGCUUUUCAAAAAGUUAAGCAUCUUGUAGUCAAAAGAACAGUUUCUAAGUGAACUUAUCUGCUCUUACUAAAUCUGCUUCGCUGAAAAAAUCAUGGUUAUUCCAGGAAUGGUAGCUACAUACUGAUUUACUGAUGCAAGCUUUUCUCUUUGAGACUUAGGUCAGAGAUAGCAUAUGUUGCAUUUUAUUCAUGUGGCAGCAUGACAUUGUGGAAGACCUAUUAAUAUUACUACUUAGUAUAGGUAAGAUAGUAAUAUAGAGAUUGUAAGUCUCAAUAUUAGGGCAUUAUCAUUGCCCUUACAGGGUUGCCCAAGCCCUUGGCACACAAAUUUGAAUUUCACCUCUACAUCCCACAGAACAUCCUACAUGAUGUUGGUGCAUCUUACAGAUGUUAAGCUAUUAAAGAGUUGACAUUAUUAGUUACAUUACACAAUAUUCAUAAUUAUUGCUUCCUCUGUCAGUAAAAUACAAGGGAGAGGAAAUGACAAAUUCAAAUAUCACCAGAUAUGCAUUAUACGUGUCUGGGAAGGAGAUGGAGCAAAUUCCCUUUCAGGCAGGGAUGCUGCUCAGGUUCUGUUACUCAGAUUGUUUUAUCUCUCAAUCUUAGCAGCACAAUCCUUCUGUAUCAGAUUAUUUAAAAAAUAUUUUUUAAAAUAUUUGACUCUUAACUCUCCUCUUCACCUUUGUUUCUAUCUAUUAUUGAACAAGCAUAUCUGAGCUACAAUUGCCCUGGAUAUGACAACAGGAAGAAACACAGCAGACUGGAGAGAUGCUGUCCUGGUAGGAAUAGGGCUGUGGCAUCCUGUAGACAUCACACAUGGCUCUGGCACUGGCUCUGGCUGACAGGAAUUACACAGUCACAGUUACAUAGUUGUUAAAAAUUAAUCAUUUUGAUCUCUAAACCCAUAGGCUAAAAUAAACCAAAAACACUUAGCCACCAACAUUCCAAGGACAAAGAACACUUGCUCCAGUGCAUUUUGGGAAAUAUUGAGAGAAUUAAGCUUCCAUAAAACAGGUUAGAAUCAUAAACGAAUUAACAUAUGACAGUGAUGAAGUCUCUUCUCCCACCAAGAAUGGUAUUGUUUUACAAGACCAUUAUUUCAACAUUAUUUCACAGAGACUGUGAACAAAACCCAAAUUCAGAUCCACACAUUGUUUGACUGCCUAAAGCCUACAAGAACAUGCUGGAGGUCCAAGAUUAGAGACCUAAAUUACUUUGCAGAUUCAGCUUUUGAUCUUGUUCUCUAACUUUCAUUUUCCUUUGUAGAUUUUGAUUGAGGAUAUCAUGUAUGUAUUGACUGUUGUCUUUUCUUUGGUGCAAGAGAGCAUGUGACAUCUAGAUCCAGAUAUCUAGAAAAUGCAAUAUUUUGAUCAUUGUAUAAAUAUCAUAGAUGAAAACUUGCUUUUGUUCUCACUACAGGACCAGAGUGAAAAAAUGUCCUUGGAAGAGAUAUAAUUCCAGAAGCAGUUGGACUGCUUUCCUAGAAUAACUAAAAAUGCAUCAAUGGGCAUCCCAUAAUUAUAAACUAGUAAGAAUACAUGAGUUACUUUUUGUAGCAGGUGCAAAUACACACUACACUUAUAUCCAUGAAAUCCAGCAAUAUGUAUGGUCCUUGUCUGGAUAGUCAUGCUGAAGAAAUUAUGAAGGGCUUGCACAUAGCCUGCAGCCUGCUGAAUCUAAUUCUUACUUUUUUCCUUGAAGGACUAUAUCUUGAUUUUGCUGUGAACAAGUGUCUUUCACACCUGCUCUGAAAAAGAGCCUAUGCACUGCACCAUUUAAAAGUAAUAUCUCACCUUGAACUGCAGUGACAUUUUUGGAGAAUUGACAGAAGUUUUUCUUGGGCCUUUCUCCAGAGUUCAGCAGCUCCCAGGUUUUUACCAAGUUCAUCGCAGAACCCACAGUCGUUUUUACCUCAUUUUUUUACCCUGUCUUAGUAGAAGCUGUGGCUCUUAGCUCCUGAACAUCUUUCUCUGAACUUCGUGGUGAAAACACACAUGACUACACAGUUAGAGGCAGAAUAAUGCUAUUGCUUGCAUUGUAGAAUACAGAUAGUUAAAGAAUAUAGAUUAUUAUUGCAUUAAGCCAUCUUGUCUUCUCAAAUGUGUCUUAUUUCUGUUUUUCAGGAUGCAGAGAGUUCUCAGUUGUUUUAAGGUGAUAACGAGUAGAAUUGGGUACUUCUAGUGGAUACUUGUGAAGGAGAAUUAGGUUUAGAAGCAAGACGAGAGGGUUCAGAGGGAUUGCAGGGGAUUUCUGUGGGUGUCAGCAACACGCGAGCAGAAAUGACUCCAUGUGCAUGCAGCAGUUCUCUCUCACUCAUCUAUGCAUGUCAAACUGCAAUGCUGUGCACAAGAGGGAACUCAUGAGUAUCUUGGCUGAAAGAAAAUUCAAAUUGCCCUAGACCUGCACUGUUUUGAGUAGGAUGGUGAUACUUAUGUGUGUUUACUUUGUCUGAAAAUACUUUGUGAGUUACAGAGUUCAUGGGCAGCUCAGUCAAGAAAUUAAGCACUACUUUAAAAAGAAAAUAAAUUUGCAAGCAAUAUUGAGUCUGGAUGUUAGUGGUAUUUCUCAAGUUCAUAUUAUGCUUAGAAUGUAUUCUCCAAACCUACAUAAAUUAUGUUUUGAUAGUGGUAAUAGGAGAAAUAUUGAAUGAGUUUUGAAUUAAUGUCUGUGUAUUAAUUGCUAAAUGUGUCAGGCUUCUAGUUUCCCUAGCUAUAAAUUUUUUUAUGGUUGAGAGAGUAGAGACUGGUUAUUUUUUUAGUGUAGUGUUGAUGACUAAGAUGGACUGGAAACAUCAUUUUUUAUAUCUAUAUGUAUUCAUGAAAGUAAAAAGAAUAACGGAUACUUCUUUUGGCACAUUUGUUUCCUUUAAUGGUUUGAGUAUUACUCAGAAAUAGUUUAAUUAUGUGACCUCAUAUUAUGUUUGAAUUACCUUCCCUCUGCUGAUUAAUCAAGCUGCAUGAUGACAAACAAAGCCCAGUACUAUUCAUAUCUCCUGUUAUCAAGGAAAAAGAGAAUAGUGACAAAUUAAAUAUCAGUUAUUAUCAAUGAGAGAUUUAUAUUUGCCAUCAAUAGAGGUGAAUGUAUCAGUCUACAUGAUCCUGCGAGUUUUUUCCUAUGAUUCUAUUCCCAUGAAUCUUUAUUGCUAUUGAUGGAAAAUAGGAACUCACAACCUGAUUCACAGAUCCUGAUUUAACAGAACCAGUAAACACUUUAGGAAAUUGGAUAAAGUCUCUCUUAUACACGGUCCAUGGCUGAAAAGUAGGGGUUUAUAUCAUAUGGUAAGCAGCAAGCCUGAAUGUUCAAAAUCAGAUAUUUUCAACAAAGUAUAACCAAACAGAUAAACUAGUGCCAGAUUAGAGCCCACCUUCUUUUUUUUUUUUUUUUUUUUUUUACAGGUUUCCAUGGCACAUGAAAUUCAGUACACUAAACACUAAAUUACAAGGGAGAGUAAGGGUUACUACACA
rnacentral:lncRNA from 1 species